rnacentral:rRNA from 1 species
AUUGAACGCUGGCGGCAGGCUUAACACAUGCAAGUCGAACGAUGACUCUCUAGCUUGCUAGAGAUGAUCAGUGGCGGACGGGUGAGUAACAUUUAGGAAUCUGCCUAGUAGUGGGGGAUAGCUCGGGGAAACUCGAAUUAAUACCGCAUACGACCUACGGGUGAAAGGGGGCGCAAGCUCUUGCUAUUAGAUGAGCCUAAAUCAGAUUAGCUAGUUGGUGGGGUAAAGGCCCACCAAGGCGACGAUCUGUAACUGGUCUGAGAGGAUGAUCAGUCACACCGGAACUGAGACACGGUCCGGACUCCUACGGGAGGCAGCAGUGGGGAAUAUUGGACAAUGGGGGCAACCCUGAUCCAGCCAUGCCGCGUGUGUGAAGAAGGCCUUUUGGUUGUAAAGCACUUUAAGCAGGGAGGAGAGGCUAAUGGUUAAUACCCAUUAGAUUAGACGUUACCUGCAGAAUAAGCACCGGCUAACUCUGUGCCAGCAGCCGCGGUAAUACAGAGGGUGCGAGCGUUAAUCGGAAUUACUGGGCGUAAAGCGAGUGUAGGUGGCUCAUUAAGUCACAUGUGAAAUCCCCGGGCUUAACCUGGGAACUGCAUGUGAUACUGGUGGUGCUAGAAUAUGUGAGGGGGAAGUAGAAUUCCAGGUGUAGCGGUGAAAUGCGUAGAGAUCUGGAGGAAUACCGAUGGCGAAGGCAGCUUCCUGGCAUAAUAUUGACACUGAGAUUCGAAAGCGUGGGUAGCAAACAGGAUUAGAUACCCUGGUAGUCCACGCCGUAAACGAUGUCUACUAGCCGUUGGGGUCCUUGAGACUUUAGUGGCGCAGUUAACGCGAUAAGUAGACCGCCUGGGGAGUACGGCCGCAAGGUUAAAACUCAAAUGAAUUGACGGGGGCCCGCACAAGCGGUGGAGCAUGUGGUUUAAUUCGAUGCAACGCGAAGAACCUUACCUGGUCUUGACAUAGUGAGAAUCUCUCAGAGAUGAGAGAGUGCCUUCGGGAACUCACAUACAGGUGCUGCAUGGCUGUCGUCAGCUCGUGUCGUGAGAUGUUGGGUUAAGUCCCGCAACGAGCGCAACCCUUUUCCUUAUUUGCCAGCGGGUUAAGCCGGGAACUUUAAGGAUACUGCCAGUGACAAACUGGAGGAAGGCGGGGACGACGUCAAGUCAUCAUGGCCCUUACGACCAGGGCUACACACGUGCUACAAUGGUAGGUACAGAGGGUUGCUACACAGCGAUGUGAUGCUAAUCUCGAAAAGCCUAUCGUAGUCCGGAUUGGAGUCUGCAACUCGACUCCAUGAAGUCGGAAUCGCUAGUAAUCGCGGAUCAGAAUGCCGCGGUGAAUACGUUCCCGGGCCU